rnacentral:lncRNA from 1 species
GCUUGGAAUAUUCUCAAUGGCUAUCAAGGCCACCAUGUGGAGCAGUGCUUCCUGGACCUGGUUUCUUCUUGGCAUCUGGACCUGGCCCAGUGCUACAGGAUCACCUGCUUCAUCUCCUGGAGCUCCUGCUUCAACUGUGCCCAGGAAAUGGCUGGGUUCCUGAGGGAGAAUAGACACAUGAGCUUGCGCAUCUUCACUGCCUGCACCUAUGAUUACCACCCAGGAUAUGAGGAGAGGCUGCACAUGCUGCAGGGAACUGGGGCCCAAAUUUCCAUCAUGACCUCUAU